UACGGUAGGGGGCAAGCGUUUGUCCGGAUUUACUGGGUGUAAAGGGUGCUCAGGUGGCUUUGUAAGUCAGCGGUGAAAGCCUGGAGCUUAACUCCAGAACUGCCUUUGAGACUGCAUCGCUUGAAUCCAGGAGAGGUGAGUGGAAUUCCGGGUGUAGCGGUGGAAUGCGUAGAGAUCCGGAAGAACACCGGUGGCGAAGGCGGUCUGCUGGGCAGUGCUGAC
rnacentral:rRNA from 1 species